CAGAAUUCUUUUCUAAAGCUUCAGAGAAAGAGGAACCGUGGGCCAGUUCUGUAUCUUCUGAAGGUCAAACUGCCCUGUAGGAAUAUUUUUGCAAAAUGUUGAGCCUGAUCUUUCAACUUCUGGAUAUAUUUUGGGUGCAUACCUAUACUUCUUGAACAGCCCUCGGAAGAGAUGUUGCUGGGAAGGUGAUGGUUUGCAUGCUCCCAAAAAUAACAUCUUGGAGAGGGGAAGCCUAC
rnacentral:lncRNA from 1 species